UACGAAGGGUGCAAACGUUGCUCGGAAUUGAUUGGGCGUAAAGCGCACGUAGGCGGCUUCGCAAGUCCCAUGUGAAAGCCCACGGCUUAAACCGGUGGAAGUGCAUGGGAAACUGCGAGAGGCUUGAGUACUUAAGAGGAUCGGCGGAAUUCCCGGAUCGUGAGAGGUGGAAAAUUCGUAGAUAUCGGGAGGAACACCAGUGGCGAAGGCGGAGCCAACGUCGGUCCGGUACGUGACGCU
rnacentral:rRNA from 1 species